GAUGAACGCUGGCGGCGUGCUUAACACAUGCAAGUCAAACGGGAAUUACUUUAUUGAAACUCCGGUCGAUUUAAUUUAAUUCUAGUGGCGGACGGGUGAGUAACGCGUGGGUAACCUGCCUUAUACAGGGGGAUAACAGUCAGAAAUGGCUGCUAAUACCGCAUAAGCGCACAGAGCUGCAUGGCUCAGUGUGAAAAACUCCGGUGGUAUAAGAUGGACCCGCGUUGGAUUAGCUUGUUGGUGGGGUAACGGCCCACCAAGGCGACGAUCCAUAGCCGGCCUGAGAGGGUGAACGGCCACAUUGGGACUGAGACACGGCCCAGACUCCUACGGGAGGCAGCAGUGGGGAAUAUUGCACAAUGGGGGAAACCCUGAUGCAGCGACGCCGCGUGAAGGAAGAAGUAUCUCGGUAUGUAAACUUCUAUCAGCAGGGAAGAUAGUGACGGUACCUGACUAAGAAGCCCCGGCUAACUACGUGCCAGCCGCCGCUGUAA
rnacentral:rRNA from 1 species